GCUCCUUUUGGACACAGUACUUGGCUGGAUGUCUGUGAAGAUUAAUCAAGUAAGAAGAGAUUAACCAACAUCUUAAUCUGUCAUAAAUCAAACAGGGAGAUGAAGCCUCUUAUUGCAAGAAACUAACAUUACAGAAAGCCUUCAUCUGGGUUUAGCCAUCAUCAGUCUCAAUCUAAAUUGUCAACUUCAGGAGUCUGAAGUGCAUUUUUAGACUAUUCUUCAAGCUUCUGUGAUCAAAACCGGCGAUGUAAUGGAGGAAAAUGUCAGCUCCAUUAAGGUUGCUUAAAAUAUACCAUGCUGGAGAGGUGACAGCAGACACAGUCUGGAGGAUGAGGGUGAUCAGUGCCAUCCAGCAAACCAAGACUGGAAGAUAGUGACAGAGAAAUAUGUAAUAAUGCUUUUGUUCUAUCAACAUCAAAACAACACUGGAGCCUUGGGAUGAGCCUUGGCAGCACUCUGCAAUGUGCAGUUUGUACAUCGUGCUGCAUGUACCUGUCGUAGUAUUGAUGACAGCAGUCCUCGCCACCAACAAAUCCACUGAUUGAAGCAGUUGGUUACAGUUGGAGCAGAAGUCCCCGGUUAGCAGACAUUUUUGGAAAGUCGAGAUUGCCAGCAUCACUGAGAAGAAUCGAGGACUGGGCUAAUUGGAGGAGAAACAGCUUGCUCGCUGUAGGAAUGCAGCGUGUUACUUUCUGGUGAGCAGGGAGUUUCUGCAAUUUGCAAAUCAAAACCAAACAAAAUCAACCAACCAAAUCUUUUCCAGGGCCAUUCUGAAUUUCCUUAGGCUAUAAAAACAUUUAAGCCUCCAAACAUAUCAGACCUGUUUUCCUGCAUUCCACGUCUACAGCUUACCUGUAUCCUAAAGAACAUAAAGGAAACAGAUAAGUGUCAAGAAACCCUUAGUGGUACUUCUUCCUUGGAGAAUGUGUGAAAAAUGCAAAUGCUGGGCACGUGUGAAUGAGAGGCCAGACUCAAAGCUGUUCUUGAAUGUUGAUCUUAACACUAUCAGAGUGAUAAACUUCUCUUCUUUGUCAGAAAUGUCGCCUCAGAGGUGAGCAGCUAUGAUUUUACUUGACCAGAAGUAUUUUGAAGAGCAAAGGCUUUGGCGCUCAGCAGCAGCUGAUAGCAGCACUGUGCUAGAUCACAGAAUGGUUGGACUGGAAAGGAUCUCAAAGCCCACCUGGCCCCAAGCCCUGCUGUGCAUUGGUUGCCACUCACCAGGAGGAGGUGGCUGAUAGGAAGCCUCGUGGGAGUGCCCAUGCUGAUUAUGAUGGCCGGUGUGUCCGCCAGAAACAGAGCCAAAGAAAACUGGGCAGAUGAAGCCUUCCACU